rnacentral:rRNA from 1 species
AACGAACGCUGGCGGCAGGCUUAACACAUGCAAGUCGAGCGCCUCGCAAGAGGAGCGGCAGUCGGGUGAGUAACGCGUGGGAACGUACCCUUAUCUUCGGAAUAGCUCUGGGAAACUGGAAGUAAUACCGAAUGUGCCCUUAGGGGGAAAGAUUUAUCGGAUAAGGAUCGGCCCGCGUUGGAUUAGCUAGUUGGUGGGGUAAAGGCCUACCAAGGCGACGAUCCAUAGCUGGUCUGAGAGGAUGAUCAGCCACAUUGGGACUGAGACACGGCCCAAACUCCCACGGGAGGCGGCAGUGGGGAAUAUUGGACAAUGGGCGCAAGCCUGAUCCAGCCAUGCCGCGUGAGUGAUGAAGGCCUUAGGGUUGUAAAGCUCUUUCACCGGAGAAGAUAAUGACGGUAUCCGGAGAAGAAGCCCCGGCUAACUUCGUG